UACGUAGGGUGCGAGCGUUGUCCGGAAUUAUUGGGCGUAAAGAGCUCGUAGGCGGUGUGUCACGUCGGCCGUGAAAACUUGCAGCUUAACUGUGGGCGUGCGGUCGAUACGGGCAUCACUGGAGUUCGGCAGGGGAGACUGGAAUUCCUGGUGUAGCGGUGAAAUGCGCAGAUAUCAGGAGGAACACCGGUGGCGAAGGCGGGUCUCUGGGCCGAUACUGACGCUGAGGAGCGAAAGCGUGGGGAGCGAACAGG
rnacentral:rRNA from 1 species